GACGAACGCUGGCGGCGUGCUUAACACAUGCAAGUCGAACGGAAAGGCCCUGCUUUUGCUUGUUGCUUGAUUGGCGAACGGGUGAGUAACACGUGAGUAACCCCCCCUUGACUUUCUGAUAACUUCAGGAAACUGGGGCUAAUACCGGAUAGGAUCUCUUGCUGCACGUGGGGGGUAGGAAAGAGUCGGCGGUUGUGUCUCGACUCGCUGCUUAUCAGCUUGAUUGUGGGGUAGGUGCUGACCAGGGCUUUGACGGGUAGCCUGCCUGGGAGCGUGGACAGCGACCUUGCGACUGCGAUAGGCAGCAGACUCCUAUGGGACGCAGCAGUGGGGAGUCUUGCACAAUGGGGGGGAGCGUGAUGCAGAGAUGCCGCGUGCGUGAUGACCGCCUAUGGGUUGUGAACAGAUUUCGAAUGUGACGAAGAGUGAGUGACGGUAAUGGGUAAGGAAGCACCGGCUAACUACGUG
rnacentral:rRNA from 1 species